AUUGAACGCUGGCGGCAGGCCUAACACAUGCAAGUCGAGCGAGCGGCGGACGGGUGAGUAAUGUCUGGGGAUCUGCCCGAUAGCGGGGGCUAACUACUGGCAACGGUGGCUAAUACCGCAUACUAUCUGAUGCGCCCAUAUGGGAUUAACUAGUUGGUGGGGUAAAGGCUCACCUAGGCGACGAUCUCUAGCUGGUCUGAGAGGAUGAUCAGCCAAACUGGCACUGAGACACGGCCCAGACGCCUACGGGAGGAAGCAGUGGAGAAUAUUGCACAAUGGGCGCAAGCCUGAUGCAGCCAUGCCGCGUGUAUGAAGAAGGCCUUAGGGUUGUAAAGUACUUUCAGCGGGGAGGCGUUACCCGCAGAAGAAGCACCGGCUAACUACGUGCCAGCAGCCGCGGUAAUAC
rnacentral:rRNA from 1 species